UGGCGUUAUUAAACAUAGACUUGUUUAAUUGGAACAAGAUUAUCUAUUUGGUUAUUUUAACGUUUUAGUAUUAAUUCUUUUGAAAUGUCGAAUUUGCGAAAGGCAUAGCCAAAACCCGGAUACAACAGACUUUAAGUCAAGAUGGAAAAUAAAUUGUCAACUAAAGUUGUCAAUUUAUUUUAGAGGGGGUGUAGGGUAGUGUUACCGUUGUGGCAUUUUACCCUAUUACUCACCAAGAGCAACAAGAGAUAGAGAGUGAGAGCAAACGGUCAUAGUACUCUUCGGAGUGAACUCACUAUGAUGACCCGUGCCAUAAUAUUCGUUUCCAUAGUUUCGAUGUUUUUUAGUAGUAUUUUCUAUAUGUUUUGCAUAUUACAUGAUAGGUUAGUCAUUGUAUGUUAUUCGUUCGUCCUUUAAUCAAUGGCUAAUAGAAGGAAAUUGUUUAGGAGCACUAGUUUGAAUAAACUCCACAGUAGGAUUAGCAACGGUCAUUUUGAAUACACAUAACACAAUUUGUUAAACACUCCUCACCAAUUAUGUGUACUGCCGUGCGACUAACGAUGGAAUGAAUAAAAAAAGGGUCACGAUGAACUUGGAUGAUCGUGGGGGGAGGUUAGCUACUGGGUCAUGUCCACUGCAGCGAUCUUUUCCACUUGAACCUCGGAACCAACAGCACCCAUCAAAGUUCCAGAAUAUAAGUAACUCGGUCUAAGAAGUUCGUCCGGUUACCAAAGCCAAAUAAAAGUCGACCACGGAUAGUUUAUCCUCGCGAGUGGAAAAGUGAUUUGGAGCAACGUGCAGAAUUGCGUAGAAUCAGGUGUAGGACCCAACAGUUUUAAGCUGUAGACACGUCCAACGUCUCAGCCAGAAGUCGAGCACGCCCAAAAAGCUCGCCAAGAAGGUCUCGUUGACCACGUGUCCUGACGUGGCACCCGCAGACCGCCGUCCUCGGUUUGCGAGGUAAAGCACCCCCUUUGGUUACCACCACGCCCGUUGUGGUCGUUCAUCCGCCGACGUUCGGUAGCCUGGCUAGGCUCCGUCGGUCCAUCCACACCCGUCCAGAAGCACACCUGUGCGCGACUCGGUAAGCCUGACGAGGCUUCGCCGAGAUCAUCGUCAGCAGCUCGAAGCAGACUGGAGAGCGCAAACCAGCAGCAGCACGCAGUACCGCCGGCCGGCAGAAACCCACACACACACACACACAUGACACCGUCGUAAGUAAUUAAAAGCAAGUGAAAAUGCAAAGACCGUGUUUCUUUUGAGUCCCUGAACAGCUUCCCCCUGUUGCAUCUCGACCCAGAGCCGAAGAGUCCUCUCCGAAAGCUCGCCGCGUUUGGUAAAAGAGGCCAGUGAAGAGCCCACCACCGAUCCCCGUGGCUAUUAGACCAGGGAGAGGUGGAUUUGUCUGGAGGCGUUGACCUCCAAGUUAAAAACUAACAA